UACGUAGGGUCCGAGCGUUGUCCGGAGUUACUGGGCGUAAAGCGCGCGCAGGCGGCGGUGUAAGCAUGGCGUGAAAGCCCCUGGCUUAACCAGGGAGGGUCGUCGUGGACUGCACCGCUUGAGGGCGGUAGGGGCUGGUGGAAUGCCUGGUGUAGUGGUGAAAUGCGUAGAGAUCAGGCGGAACACCCGUGGCGAAGGCGGCCAGCUGGGCCGUCCCUGACGCUGAGGCGCGAAGGCGUGGGGAGCGAACAGG
rnacentral:rRNA from 1 species